rnacentral:lncRNA from 1 species
ACUUAAACCGUCCUUCACACCGCGGACUGCACAGGCACAGGCUGAAGCGCUGUGGUCCCGCAGGGAUCCCCUCGCCUGGGCCGUUGUGUGGGCGGACUCGCGAGGGAGGUUCACGACGCUCUGCCCCGCCCCGCGGCCCCUGAGGCUUCUUCAAGUUCGGCCUUUACGAGGUCUUCAAGAUCCGCUCCGCGGAGCUCCUGGGCCCAGAGAAAGCCUACGGGUGGAGAGCCGGCCUGUACCUUUUCGCCUGGGCCAGCGCCGAGUUCUUCCCCGAUGUCUCGCUGGAGCCCAUGGAGGCGGUCAAGGUCCGCGUGCAGACGCGACCGGGCUACGCCAGCACCCUGCGAGCCACGGCGUCCAGGAUGUAGGGCGAGGAGGGCCUGUGGGCCUUCUACAAGGGCGUGGCGCCGCUGUGGCUGAGGCAGAUCCCCUACACCAUGAUGAAGUUCGCCUGCUUCGAGCGCACGGUAGAGGACCUCUA